rnacentral:rRNA from 1 species
GAUGAACGCUGGCGGCGUGCUUAACACAUGCAAGUCGAACGAAGCACUUUAACCUGAUUCUUCGGAUGAAGGUUUUUGUGACUGAGUGGCGGACGGGUGAGUAACGCGUGGGUAACCGGCCUCAUACAGGGGGAUAACAGUUAGAAAUGACUGCUAAUACCGCAUAAGACCACAGAGCCGCAUGGCUCGGUGGGAAAAACUCCGGUGGUAUGAGAUGGACCCGCGUCUGCUUAGGUAGUUGGUGGGGUAACGGCCUACCAAGCCAACGAACAGUAGCCGACCUGAGAGGGUGACCGGCCACAUUGGGACUGAGACACGGCCCAAACUCCUACGGGAGGCAGCAGUGGGGAAUAUUGCACAAUGGGGGAGACCCUGAUGCAGCGACGCCGCGUGAGCGAAGAAGUAUUUCGGUAUGUAAAGCUCUAUCAGCAGGGAAGAAAAUGACGGUACCUGACUAAGAAGCACCGGCUAACUACGUG